rnacentral:tRNA from 1 species
GGGGUUGUGGCUCAGAGGUAAAGCGCACACCUAGCAGGCGUGAGGCACUGGGUUCAAUCCUCAACCCACA